UUUGACAAUUUAACUUAUUUCUCAAUAGUGAUGCGAGAAAGACAUUAAGAAGAAUUAAGUAACACAGUUUCAAAUGUGGGAAAAAAAGAAUAAUUUUGAACAGAGUUUUAUGAAAUAAAAAAUAUUAUGAAUUCAUAUAGACAAAAAUGGAGGAAUAUUUUAAAAAAAUAUAAAUAGUUCUUUGUGUAAUAGUAUUACGUGAAAAUUUUUAUGGUGGUAGAGGUCCAACCAACCAAAGUUGGGUAAGGCUCCACCCAUUUUUUGACACAUGAAUUGUGGGACCUUUCUUAAUAUAAAAGUUGAAAAAAAUAAAAAAUAAAAAAGUAAAUUGUGGGGUUAACAUCAUUAAAUAUGCACUUAUAUUUAAGAGAGAGAAGAUGAAAAAGGUUCUUGGAUUUAUUUUCUCUUUUACAAAGGAGCUGGAAUAAAAUUAAAAGUAAGCAAUAAAUAUGCACUUGUAUCUAAGAGAGAGAAGAUGAAAAACGUUCUUGUAUUUAUUUUUUCUCUUCUAGAAAGGAGCUGGCAAAACAUUAAAAUUAAAUAGGGACCUACAAUAUUAAAUGUUAACUUAAAUAUUCACUUAUAUCUAAGAAAGAGAAGUUGAAGAAGCUUCUGGGUUUCUUUUGACUUCUUCAAAAGGGCUGGAAAAAGAAUAAAGAAGGUGAACAAGUUUCUUUUCUCUUCUUCAAAGGACAAAAAAAUAUGAAGAAUUAUCUACAUUCGAAUUUUCGAAGGAGAAAAAAAUCAGAAGUAUCUAUAUACGUUUUCCAGUGAAGACUCUAUUUGUGCUCGCACUUCUUUGGGUCGAUUUGAUAUCUGCUGAGAAAGUAGAACGGCUAAAUACAGGACACCAUUUUUUCUCAGAUCAUACAACUUUUGAAGCCAAGUAUUACUUGCAAAAUCCCAAUCAUCUAUCAUUUUUUUCCAUAUUAACUCAAAUUCUGAUUCUGAAUUGCACCUUCACAAGAGAAUAUCAAAGCAGUAUCGAAACCCUGAUUUAAAAUAAAGUUGAGGUAUAUUUUUUUGAGCAUUUCUAUCACUGUGCCAUUCACACAAUCUAUGACAUGUUCCAGGAAAAACUUCCUUAAUAGCAAAAGCUAUGGUAGGAGCUUGAUCAGUAAAGAUUGUUUUUGGUGUUUUCCCUCCCAUUGCUUUCAGGAAUGUUUGAAAAAGCCAAACAAAAGAACCACUUGUUUCAUUGCAUAAAAAUGCACAUCCAAAGAAAGUGUUAUUCCAGUGGUUAUUCACAACAACAAAUGGAGCACAAAUCAUGUCAUAUCUAUUUGUACGAUAAGUAGUGUCAAAAAUCAUCACAUCUCCAAAACACUCGUAGUGCAAUUUAGAUAUACUAUCUCUCCAAAAGAAAUUACACUAUCUGCCAUCUUCAUUAACUUGAAAAGAAUGAAAAAAGUUUGAAUUCUCUGAUUGUAAAUGCAUAAAAUGAUUUAUCAAGGUUUGAGAAUCUCCACCACUUAUCAUAUUCCUCUUAUGUGCUUGUAUAAAGUUAUGAGCGUCUUGUUCAAUAAAUCCCAUAUUUUCAAUUCCACCAGCUUCGUUAUGAAGGUAUCUAACCACUUUUUUUGCUCAAAUACCGACAUCCACCAUAGAACCAAGAAUACUUUUAGUGGCACUUUAAGCUUACGACCUGAUUGUAAGAAAUGUUUCAAAUUAUCUUCUAUCAUUGGAUGACUAUUCACAUCAUUGAAUUCACAUACUUCCCACAUCCCAUUUGAAAUUUUGAAUUUUAUACGAGCCAUACAACCACAUCUAUAUUCUAAUCUUUGUCGUUUUCUUUCUUGAAAAAGGGAAAGCUUAUCAGAUUUUCCUUCACAAGCACAAAGAAAUAACCGUCUAGUUACUUCUUUAUUUAUGUUGUAAGUCUUUGCACUUUUUCGAACACCAAAACCUUUGGCUAGCGCAUAUGAAUUAUAUGCAUCGUAAGAUUCUUCUUCAGAAUUAAAUUUCAUACCAAUCUCAAAAGCAAAGUUCUUGUUAAUGCUAUAAACAUUAUUUGCUUUUGUAGAAUAUUCGUUGUCGUUAACAUUGGAAUCUACAAUAAUAAUUUUAUUUUUUGAGUAUCAAAACAUAAGAAAUAGAUAAAAAUAUAAACAUUUACUUAAUAGAGAACCUUCACACUCGAAUUAAAGUGUAUUACCUUCUUGAAGAGAAGACCCUUUAUCAAUAUGUAUAUCCUCCCAUUUUUUAAAAUUUAAAGCAAAAUCUACACAAGAAGCAAAUCAUAUUAUUAAGAAAUUAUAUUUUUCAAAUAUUACCUUAGCACAUAAAAAUAUUAAAACAUGUCUUUUAUUUUACUAUACAUUUCAAAUUUAAUUUAAUAUUAUGUGAUCACCAUUAAAUUUGAAUGCAAAAUCUCUUGAAAUAACUAAUACUAAUAUUUUAUAUGGCAAGAACUUUCUAAUAAGCAUGAAGAUCAUUUAUGACAACAAUGAAUGAUGCACAAAAGUUUACAUAGAUAAUUGUGUCAUAGAAUCUUGAGCAUUUUGAACAAGAUAAUGUAAUAUUCUAUAUUCAAGAUAUGUAUAAAAUAUGUUUAUCUAUAUGUAUAAUGAGGAUUAUCAAUAAAUAACUUUUUAUUCUAUUUAAAGCUUUAGUAAAAAAAUGUAAUAUCAUUGGACAAAUAAAAGAAUAUGGAAAGCAAAAAUAAUAAAAGAAAUGGUUCAUAGAUAUGUAUAUUUUGUAACCUUACUUGAACAAAAUUUGAACGAGAAUAAAAGAUUAUAGAUGAUGUAGUUUUAUUUUAGAGCAACAAUGGUGUUUUUUUAUCUUAGGGCUUUUACUUAUUUUGUAGGCAAAGAUCAUAAUUUAAGGAGGGAAAAUAGUACUUCUUUUCCUCCAUUUUUAUUGUACUAUAUAAAUGUUUAUUUUAAUUAUUUUUAUUUUGUUUCAUUUGACUUUAUUUGCAAAGUACACAUAUUGACCUACAAUUCAUGUGUCAAAAAAUGGGUGGAGCCUUACUCAACUUUGGUUGGUUGAACUUCUGCCACCAUAAAAUUUUUGGUAUUUAUGUUAGUGUGACUAGCACCGACGUGAAGCUGCUAGUAGUGUUUGGGAACUCAAUUGGAAGCAAAAAAGUAGCGGCGACUAGUGAUUUUUGCAAAACUGGACCCAGCAAAGACAAUGGGAUGUUGACGGGAAACUAGCGCAAAGAGCAAAACAAGUGCAAGAGUCAAUGGAACAGUACCCAAUCUCCCCAAAGGAGUCGAAAACAUGCAGAUUUUGAUAAUAGGCCAAUUAUUUUGAAACAAUGGUCUGCUGAUUUUGAUUUCAUUAAAGAGUUCCUAAUUACUGAAAUACCAUUAUGGGUUAGUUUUCCCAAUUUGCCUACGAAUUGCUGGAGUUGCAACUCUCUAGCCGCAUUGCCAGUGCUAUUGGAAAACCUAUAUAUACCUAUGAGUGUAACACCAAACAAGCUAUAGACAAAGCUCAGACAAAGAAAAGACUUUUAUGAGGGAUAAUAACGAAGAAUUAAGUCUUACUGAUGUUGUGAUGGCUCAACCCACUAUAGCAGAACAGAAUGAGUUGAUUCUGCAGCUCAUGCAACAUAUUGCAGAGAUGAGGGUAGACAUACAAAGGAGACAAGAUCUGCCUCCGAAAGGUUUUGUUGCUAAUGCUAUUGAUGGGAGACCUCCAAUCUACUUCCCUUCUUCAAAUAAGGAUCCAGCCUAGAACUAGCCAUCUUCACCUGCUUAGAAUGCGUCGGUUAUAGAACUGACAAUCCAAAAUCCCCAAUAUGCUUUCGCAUCCUACCAAACUCCACCCCUCCUCAAAACAACCAUCCCCAAAUGCCACCCCAUCCUCACAAUACCCAUCAUCAAACCGCUCCACCACCGCAAAACCAAAACCAAAAUCAAAACCAAAAUACUUUCAAUCCCCAAACACCCCACCACCAUUAAAACCAGAAUACCAAUCCUCAGACUUUCCCACAAAAUUAUUAAACCGCUCAAAAUAUCCAGAGUCCCUAUGUGGCUCCACUCUUACCUAAAAGAACCACUUUCAAAAUUUCAGUCCCUGUCGAGCAUGAUGUGCACGGUUCUGAGCUGGACCAUUAUGAGGAACAUGAAAGGGAAUGGAAGGAAAAGGAAGAGGCAAAUGUGGACAUAAAAGAAGAGAUCAAGAAGGCUAUGAAAGAGCUUCAAUGCGUCCCUGAUACCUCUGGAUAUAACUAUGAAGAUUUGUGCAUUCAUUCGAGUCUGGACCUUCCAGAAGGGUUCAAGAUCCCGAUGUUUGACACCUUCAAAGGAGUGGGCAACCCUAUGGCUCAUCUGAGAGCCUACUGUGACCGGCUCGUGGGAGUUGGAAGGGAUGAAGCUUUAUUUAUUCGGCCCUUCAGCCGAAGUUUGAGCUGGAAAAAUCUGGAGUGAUUCACCUCCCAUGAAACUUGAUAAUGGCCCAGCAGGAAUGCUCUAGCAAAGGAUUUUAUCGAUCGGUUCGGAUAUAAUGUCGAAAUCAUUCCUGAUCGAUAUUCUUUGGAGAAGAUGAAUCCAAAAUCUACCGAGAGCUACAAAAAAUUUGCUUAUAGGUGGAGAAAGGAAGAUGCAAGGGUCAGACCACCUAUAUUAGAAAAGGAAAUUGUGAAGUGUUCGUGCAGGUGAAAGAGUCCGAGUAUUAUGAUCGAAUUAUGUUGCUCGUAGGAGCAAAAUUGCCAAGAUAGUCAAAGUUGGUGAGACUAUCGAAGAUGGGAAAGAUAGCCCGUGUUUCUGCAUCACCCGGAUCAUCAGGAACAUGGAAGAAAAAAAGAGAAUAAAUCACUUCUAUUUUAUACGAGGGAAAAAAACCCCCAGAAGCUCAUCAUAUUCCCAAGGUCGUUCUCGACUUUCCCAAAAUUCCUACCAAGCUUGCUACACGCAAGCUAGUAAUCCCAAUAAUGCUCCAAUUUAUCAAAAUGCUACCGCCACUUAUCCAAACGUCCAAGCUCCACUAUACCAAAGUCCACCCCCGAAUUACCAAUAUCCAUCUCCCAUUUACCCAAAUCAUCAUCCACCAUACCAAAUUCCAUCUCCCUACCAGGGUCUUGUUCCCAACUGUGCUAACGUACAGUCGAGCUACCGAGCACCCCCUCCUUAGUAUCAAGUCAAAGCUCCACCAUAUCAAACUCCCCACUCGAACUACCAAGCUCCAACGCCAAACUAUCAAACAAAUUCAUAUCCGAGAAAUCAAGCUCCCCGUCCAAACAAUCGAGGUUAUCAACAGAUGCCUUCCCCACAAAGAAGUUAUGAUCCCCCUCGACCUCGAUUCGAGAAGAAACCUUUAAGAAAUCUCACUACGCUCCCAAAAAGUUGAACAAAGUUGUACGAGCGACUAGCUGCAGCCGAAUAUAUCCACCCAGUGGGACCCAAACCUAUGGAUAUCAAUUUUUUGAAAUUCUAUAGGCCAUAUCAGAGAUGUGCUUAUAAUCCCAAUAGUGUUGGGCAUGAUACUGAAGACUAUAUCAAUGUCAAGCACAAGAUUCGGGAUUUAAUUGACCAAAAGGUGGCUUCAAAAAUAUCUUUUACUCCAUGACCAAUACCCAGUUGGUCCUAUACAUGCGCCCCCCCCUCCCCGAAUAAUUACCAUGUAACUGUUCGCUUUAAAACCGAAAAUGGAUUCCAUAGAAUUCACUAGAAUCUAAGAAAUGAUCAAAUUAGAAAAUCAUUUCUAUAUUUCUAUUUUGAUUCUAUAAAAAUGCAAGUUUCAUUUUUGAAUGAAGUUAGACGAUACAACUCCUAUUAGUUUAAUUGUUCAUCCAAGAGUUACUCAAUGAAUCAGUUGAUUGGAAUUGCAUGAUGGAUAGAUGUUACAGAUGAUGAAUCAAUUUCUUUCAACCAUCUACACCUAAUGUCAAUACCAAUCCUUUGUUGAAUCAUGGAAGCGGCAACGUUAGUAUGAUAGAAACAGACGAUGAUUGGUGUGGGACAAAAGUGAUAAAUCCAAUCGUUUCAUGACAAGUUAGAAAAGGUUGUAUCUUCCAUGAGCAUCAAAGAAAAGAAAGAGUUCGUUAUCUUGACACCUGUAUAGGUUGUUGCCUUGGUGUCAUAAAAAACUCUUAUCAAGCCAAAUUUUGUGAUUGAUACUGUUGCUGCACAAGGUAUGACCCAAUCUGGAUAAUGUUAUACUCCCGAGGAGCUUGCUCUCGGAGGUCAAAAAAGGAUCAAGCUGAAAGGCCAAUAAGCGAGUGUGAGACAGAGCCAUAUUUGAGAAGAAUGCAGCCGAAAGAUUAUUCUAUUGUCAAGCAUUUGGAGAAUACUCCAGCCCAGAUUUUUAUAUGGGCCCUGCUGAUGAGUUCUCAAUCGCCAGACAGACUUUGAUGAAAGCUCUCGAUGAUACGUAUGUACCCGCGGGCACAAGCAGCGAUAAUGUGGACGCUAUCAUCCACCAGGUUAUUCGAAGGCAUCGAAUCAACUUUUGUGAUGAAGAGUUGCCUUUUAAAGGGAGGUCCCAUAAUAAGGCACUGCAUAUCACUGUCGUCUGUCGCAAAAAGGUUGUCAAUCACGUCUUGGUAGAUGAUGGAUCUGGAUUUGAACAUCUGCCCAUUUUCGACGCUAAGGCAGUUGAAGUUUUACUUGGGGAAACUUGAGGAAAAUCAAGUCAACGUGAGAGCCUUCGAUGGGGUUCUAAGAGACACCUUGAGAGCCAUAAAUCUGGUUAUCCAAUUGGACGCUGCGAGUUUAGCGCACACUUUCAAGUCCUAGAUAUCGACACCAGCUACAACCUUCUUCUAAGUUGGCCUCUUAUUUACAUGGCUUGAGUUGUGCCUUCUACCCUACAUCAAAUGAUGAAACUCGUUUGAAAGAACGAAGAUCUACUCAUUCAUGGAGAAGGUAGUCAUUCUGGUAGACAUAGACCUAUUAUUGAUGAAGUGUCUGGAGGUACUGAUUUCUACACGAUGGAGUUGGUAAAUGCCACCAAUGAAGACUAAGCCCCACAACCUCUAAUGCCUUCUAUGUAUAAGAUGAUUGCUACUGUGAUGUUGCAAAGUAGAUUUGAAGCAGGUUUUGGAUUGGGAAGGAAUUCCCAAGGAAUUGUUGAGCCCAUUCAAGUUCCUGUCAAAGGGACAAGGUAUGGAUUGGGGUACGUCCCCACAGAUGAUGAUGAGAAGACAAAGAAGAAGAAGUAUCAAGCAUUGGCCAAGUCAAUCCCUCGUCUAUAUCAAUCCUUCCCAGUCCGUGAAUAUGACGAGCAAGAGAACCUUGGGGAAGGAAUCUGUGGACUUUUUGAAGAGAUCGAUGCUAUCAUUGAAGAAGAGGUCGAGAUGACAAGAUUCCGUGAUGCUGAGGUAGGAGAGAUGGUACAGAACUGGACCUCCACGUCCAUACUGAUCCCCUGAACUCCUUGGUAGAAGGGCAUCAUUUUAUGCAUAUUUAAAUCGGUGGUAGUCCAGAAGAGGCCUAAGACCUACCAUUUUGCAUUUUUUAACUGUUUAAAUUUUAAAUUUUCCAUCUUGAUGUUUAAGAAGGCAACAUGGCCCUAUGCCAUGGGCAAAGUUUGCACUGUUUUUUCCAUUUAAAAAAAAGCCUAUUUUAUUUUGAAAUUUGUUUAUUCACUCAUCUGUUAUACUUUGCUUUCCUAACUUUGUUUGUUUAUGAUUUCAGUAACGUAAGUUUAAAACCUACCAAUGUCAUGUCAUGUCACAAGAUGAAUGAACAAAAUGAGGCAGGUGAUGACGAGGUUGAUGAUUACAAAGAGGAAAGUGAGGAACUAGAGUAUGUUGCCAACGAAUUUCAGUAGUUUGAAAAUCAGCAUAAGCCGAAUCCAGAAAAAAUGGAAACGGUAAAUCUGGGAAACCCAAAGUGCAUUAAAGAGGUUAAGAUCAACAUUCACUUAAAUGAAACUAAAAUAAAAGACCUAAUUUAUUUGUUUGUUGAAUAUAUUGAUGUGUUCGUCUGGGAAGUCGGUGACAUGCAAGGGCUGAGUACCAAUAUUAUAUCUCAUAAACUGCCGAUUGAUCCGAGGUUCGAUCCGAUGAGGCAAAAGGAUCGGAAGUUCAAUCCUGAAUUGAGUUUAAAGAUCAGAGAAGAUAUCACCAAGCAGAUGGAGUCUCGAUUGGUGGAAGUGACACAAUACCCGACUUUGUUUGCCAAUGUUGUUUCGAUUUCUAAGAAGGACGGGAAGAUCAAAAUUUGUGUCAAUUAUAGAGAUCUCAGCAAAGCUAGCCCAAAGGAUAAUUUUCCAUUGCUGAACAUUCAUAUUCUGAUUGAUAAUUGUUCUAAGCAUGAAAUGUAGUCAUUUGUGGAUCGUUAUACAUGUUAUCACCAAAUUCUGAUGGACGAAGAAGACGCAGAAAAGACAACUUUUAUUACACAUUGGGGUGUAUAUCAUUACAGAGUGAUGUCAUUUGGCCUAAAGAAUGUUAGUGUUACCUAUAUGAGUACUAUGGCGACCAUAUUUCAUGACAUGAUUGAUAAGGAGAUGAGGAGUAUGUGGAUGACAUCAUAAUUAUGUCCCACGAGAGUUCGGACCACUUAACACAUUUGAAAAAGUUUUUUGAUCAUUUGCGUCGGUAUAAGUUGAAAUUAAAUCCCGCAAAAUAUGCUUUUGGAGUACCAGUCGGCAAGUUAUUGGGAUUUAUAGUGAGUAGAAGAGGUAUUGAGCUCGAUCCUUCCAAGAUUAAGGCGAUUCAAGAGUUUCCUUCGCUGAAGACUAAGAAGGAGGUGAUGAGUUUCCUGGGGAGGCCGAACUACAUCAGUCGAUUCAUAGCCCAAUCAAAUGUGGUGUGUGAGCCUAUCUUCAAGCUGUUGAAGAAAGAAUUAAGAAUGUCAGACUGAUUUUGAUGCUAUAAAGAAAUAUUUGUCCAAUCCACCGGUAUUGGUUCCUCCGUGAGAAGGGAAUCCAUUGUUGCUGUAUUUGUCCGUCUCAGAUAGUGCAUUUGUAUGCGUACUUGGUCAACACAACGAGACAGGAAAAACAGAAAAGGCUAUCUAUUACAUAAGCACGAAGUUUACUCCAUACGAAUUUCGUUACACUUUGUUAGAGAUCACGUGUUGUGAUUUGACUUGCUUGCACUGAAGUUGAGACAUUAUCUAUCUUCUUAUACUACAUACCUCAUUUCCAGAAUGGACCCGCUGAAGUAUAUCUUUCAGAAAGCGAUGUCGAUCGGAAAAUUAGCUAAAUGACAAAUGUUGUUGAGCGAAUUUGAUAAUGUGUAUGUGACUCAGAAGGCGAUAAAGGUACAUGCCUUGGCUGAUCAUUUCGCAGAAACUCCCGUUGACGAAAAAUAUCAGUUGUUCAAGACUUAUUUUCAUGAUGAAGAAGUGUCAUUUGUGGGUGAAGAUAUUUCUGAAGCGUACCCAGGUUGAAGAUUAUUCUUUGAUGGAGCGUCCAAUCACCAAGGGAAAGGUAUUGGAGCAGUUUUAGUGUCAAAAUCUGGUCAACACUAUCCCAUGGCGGCUAAACUCUGAUUUAAUUGCACGAACAACAUAACCGAAUACGAAGCUUAUAUUCUUGGUUUGAAAAUGGUUGUUGACAUAAAUGUCCACGAACUAUUGGUCAUCAAAGAUUCAGAUCUGUUGAUUCAUCAAGUUCAGGGAGAGUGGUCCAUGAAGAACCUCAAGAUUAUACCUUACGUACAGUAUGUAUAAAAGUUGAGCAAAAGAUUUCGCAAGAUUGCAUUCAGACACACUCCCAGAAUACAGAAUGAGUUGGCUGAUUCUCUCACAACCAUUGCUUCUAUGAUUAAACAUCGAGAUAAUAAUUAUAUCGAUCAUAUGGAUAUAGAGCUGAAAGAACAUCCAUUCCAUUGUUCACAUGUUGAAGCAGAACCAGACGGUUUGCCAUGGUAUUUCAAUAUAAAGAAGUAUUUGGAGUUUGGGAUUUAUCCUGAUGAUGCUAUGUCCAACCAGAAGAAGUCAAUAUGUCGUAUGGCUCUCAAUUUCUUUCUAAGUGGAGAAAUGUUGUAUAAAAGGACCCAAGAUUCAGGUCUCUUCAGAUGUGUCGAUGUUGUUGAAGUUGCAAAGUGGAUUGAAUAUAUACACGCUGGACUUUGUGGAACGCAUAUGAAUGGGAUCACUUUGGCAAGAAAGAUCCUUCGAUCCGGUUAUUUCUUGAUGACUAUGGAGAAUGAUUAUUGCAAGUUUGUGCAAAAAUGUCAUAAAUGUCAAGUGCACCAUGAUUUGAUCCGAGUGCCACCUCAUGAACUUAAUGUUAUGAGUUCACCUUGAUCAUUUGUAGCUUGGGGUAUGGAUUUCAUCGGUCCGAAAGAGCCAACCUCUUGUAAUUGACACAGAUUUAUUUUGGUUACCAUUGAUUAUUUUACCAAGUGAGUAGAAAUAGCUUCUUACAAGUCGGUAACCAAGAAAGUUGUGGCUGAUUUUGUUUGCAACAAUCUGAUAUGAAGGUUUAGAGACCAGAAUCCAUCAUUACUAAUAAUGGUAUGAAUCUUAACAAUCACUUGAUGAGAGAUAUAUGUGAGCAAUUUAAUAUCACUUACCAAAACUCAAUCGCUUAUCGUCCUCUUAUGAAUGGACCGUAGAAGUUGCCAAUAAGAAUAUCAAGAAGAUUUUGAGGAAAAUAAUUGACAAUCAUCGGGGUUGGCACGAGAUGUUGUCAUAUGCUUUAUUGGGUUAUCGGACGACUAUCAGAAUGUUGACUGGAGCUACCCCAUACUUGCUAGUGUAUGGAACAACAAUCAUACCGGCUGAAGUGGAGAUACCAUCUUUGAGAAUUAUUCAAGAAGUUGAGUUUAGUAAUGUUGAAUGGGUUAGAAAGAGAACUGAUUAGUUAACUUUGAUUGACGAGAAGAAAAUGGUUGCCGUUUUUCAUGGUCAAUUUUAUCGAUAGAGAAUGAUUCAUGCUUUCCACAAGAGAGUCAGAGCUAGAACUUUUGAAAUUGGUCAGUUGGUCCUUAAGCGCAUUUUUCCUCAUCAAGACGAGUACAAUGGAAAAAUUGCACCAAAAUGGCAAGGUCCUUACAUGGUUCGCAAAGUAUUAUUUGGAAGUGCUCUGGUCCUGUCGGAUAUGGAUGCACCGCAUGGUCGAAACCAAUCAACUGAGAAGCUGUCAAGAGAUACUACGUGUGAAGCUUUAUUUUGCUUUUCUUUUAUUUCCUUGUAAUCGUUCUAUUUUUUGUAUUCUCUUUUUUUAAAAUUUAUAUCCCUUUGUAAUGAACUAUGUAUGACCUGAAUUCUCAAGAAUGAGAUACAUAGGCAGCCUAUGUUGGCAUCGGUCACCUCUUUCAUCCCUUUAAAUAUUUAUUUGAAUUUGAACUAUGUUCGAUGUGAACUCUCAAAAAUGAGAUACGUAGGCGGUCUAUUGUCGGUCUCGGUCGGUUUCUUUGUAAAUGCCUUAUUAUUGUCAACCUUGAGAGGAACUGUGUUUGACCUGAUUCCUGCCUCAAGGGGAUAUUUAGGCACCACAAGGGUUCGAUAAUAUUUCCCAUAAGAUUUCUAUUCCUCUUUAUAAUAGAAACUAGGACAGAAUUUUUGAGAGGGACUCAAAAGUUCCCGAGAAGAAGAUUUUUCCUUAACACGUCAAGACUGAAGAUGCUUCAGAAUUUUCUACUGGGAUAGAAUUUUUGAGAGGAUCUCAAAAAUCCCAAGAUUUACUUGCUGACAAUUGAAGAUAAGACUUAACUUGUAACUGGGACAGAAAUUUUGAGGAUGACCUCAAAAUUUCAACACGAUUUAUCAACAGUCUAGGGUGGCUUUGAAUACUCCCCAUUGAAUAAUCAGAUGUACCUCAAAACACGAGGCUCAAAGGAGUUCGCUAAGCCUGACGGACAUGACACUUGUCAGUGAUCUUUUUUCAAAACACUACUUUUCGACAAUUUAUUUUCCUAAAGAUUUUUCUUUUAUGUUUUAUUUGUUUUGACAUAAAAUAGUUAGUCUUAUCUAUCAAAAGUUGGGAGAUCGGUAAAUCAAACGGAGAUAGCAGGACAAGGAGAAGAUGAUCGAAGGAAUCAACACAAAUCAGUUCCUUUUAAAAACUAACAAUUUUACUGUGAACGCAGGUUUAUAGCUUUGCUCUGAAAUCAGCAAAUUCUUCCAAUGGAUGAAUAUGGAGAAGUCAAAGGAGGAUAAAAUUAUCCCAAAAUCAAUAGUUUUCCUAGAAGCAGGAAUCAUUUUAUAUUGCUUAUGUCGGAGACUUGGGAAUGUUAAUUGUUUAUUUUAAUCAAUUUCCAACAACAUGAAAUUUAUAAAGAACGUCCAGCUAGAUUCUAAGGUGAA